UUUAAAUGUUGACAAAUAUUUUUUCUAUUCAAUGUGGCAGAAGUUCUAUGUUGAGGAUGUGACUGAUCUUGCUGCGGAUGGAUGUGGGAAUAAGUUCUUCUGCAAAGUGCAUGACAUCCUGAAAAAGCAUCACAGAAAGGAGGAUGAGAAGAUUGUGAGAAACCUGGACGUGUUUUUUAAAGAAACAAAUGUGAACUGCCAAGAAGAACUAAUUAACGUGCCGCAUGCAACAACCGAAAAGCCAAUACCGUUUUUGCUGGAAAACCUUGCAAACUGCAUUCGCCGGAGAAACUUCAUGGGAAUCUAAAAACAAAAAUGCCUAAAUAGCUUCGUGAUCCGUGAACUGUCUGACAUGUGGUAAC